CGUAUCACCCAAGACAACUUUACGGAGUUGACGAUUGACGGAGCGAAGCGACGUCAAAGCGUUCAUUAAAGUCGAGUUGGCUUAGGGAUACGUUCGUUGGGUAGGGGAGCGUUCUGUAAGCCUGUGAAGGUGUGUCGUGAGGCAUGCUGGAGGUAUCAGAAGUGCGAAUGCUGACAUAAGUAACGAUAAAGCGGGUGAAAAGCCCGCUCGCCGGAAGACCAAGGGUUCCUGUCCAACGUUAAUCGGGGCAGGGUGAGUCGACCCCUAAGGCGAGGCCGAAAGGCGUAGUCGAUGGGAAACGGGUUAAUAUUCCCGUACUUGGUGUUACUGCGAAGGGGGGACGGAGAAGGCUAUGUUGGCCGGGCGACGGUUGUCCCGGUUUAAGGGUGUAGGUGUGUGUUCCAGGUAAAUCCGGUUCACUUUAACACUGAGGCGUGACGACGAGGCACUACGGUGCUGAAGCAACAAAUGCCCUGCUUCCAGGAAAAGCCUCUAAGCAUCAGGUAACACGAAAUCGUACCCCAAACCGACACAGGUGGUCAGGUAGAGAAUACCAAGGCGCUUGAGAGAACUCGGGUGAAGGAACUAGGCAAAAUGGUGCCGUAACUUCGGGAGAAGGCACGCUGACACGUAGGUGAAGUGAUUUACUCAUGGAGCUGAAGUCAGUCGAAGAUACCAGCUGGCUGCAACUGUUUAUUAAAAACACAGCACUGUGCAAACACGAGAGUGGACGUAUACGGUGUGACGCCUGCCCGGUGCCGGAAGGUUAAUUGAUGGGGUCAGCGUAAGCGAAGCUCCUGAUCGAAGCCCCGGUAAACGGCGGCCGUAACUAUAACGGUCCUAAGGUAGCGAAAUUCCUUGUCGGGUAAGUUCCGACCUGCACGAAUGGCGUAAUGAUGGCCAGGCUGUCUCCACCCGAGACUCAGUGAAAUUGAACUCGCUGUGAAGAUGCAGUGUACCCGCGGCAAGACGGAAAGACCCCGUGAACCUUUACUAUAGCUUGACACUGAACAUUGAGCCUUGAUGUGUAGGAUAGGUGGGAGGCUUUGAAGUGUGGACGCCAGUCUGCAUGGAGCCGACCUUGAAAUACCACCCUUUAAUGUUUGAUGUUCUAACGUGGACCCGUAAUCCGGGUUGCGGACAGUGUCUGGUGGGUAGUUUGACUGGGGCGGUCUCCUCCUAAAGAGUAACGGAGGAGCACGAAGGUUGGCUAAUCCUGGUCGGACAUCAGGAGGUUAGUGCAAUGGCAUAAGCCAGCUUGACUGCGAGCGUGACGGCGCGAGCAGGUGCGAAAGCAGGUCAUAGUGAUCCGGUGGUUCUGAAUGGAAGGGCCAUCGCUCAACGGAUAAAAGGUACUCCGGGGAUAACAGGCUGAUACCGCCCAAGAGUUCAUAUCGACGGCGGUGUUUGGCACCUCGAUGUCGGCUCAUCACAUCCUGGGGCUGAAGUAGGUCCCAAGGGUAUGGCUGUUCGCCAUUUAAAGUGGUACGCGAGCUGGGUUUAGAACGUCGUGAGACAGU
rnacentral:rRNA from 1 species